ACGAACGCUGGCGGCAUGCCUAACACAUGCAAGUCGAACGAGACCUUCGGGUCUAGUGGCGCACGGGUGCGUAACGCGUGGGAACCUGCCCUUAGGUUCGGAAUAACUCCCCGAAAGGGGUGCUAAUACCGGAUAAUGUCUUCGGACCAAAGAUUUAUCGCCUUUGGAUGGGCCCGCGUUGGAUUAGCUAGUUGGUAGGGUAAAAGCCUACCAAGGCGACGAUCCAUAGCUGGUCUGAGAGGAUGAUCAACCACACUGGGACUGAGACACGGCCCAGACUCCUACGGGAGGCAGCAGUAGGGAAUAUUGGACAAUGGGCGAAAGCCUGAUCCAGCAAUGCCGCGUGAGUGAUGAAGGCCUUAGGGUUGUAAAGCUCUUUUACCCGGGAUGAUAAUGACAGUACCGGGAGAAUAAGCUCCGGCUAACUCCGUG
rnacentral:rRNA from 1 species